AAUGGAGCAGAGACUGGAGCAGAGACAAGUUGUUCCCACUGAGCUCUCCUCAGAUUACAGAUUGGGAGUGGCAAAUCAAAGGCAUUGCAGCCUCUUUCAUCACUGCCGAUUGCUGAUGCCAACCAUGUGCCAAGUGCUUAAUACGUCACCUUAAAUCUUCUCAUCCACCCUCAGAGUAGCUGCAGCAUCAACCCAGUGCCCUGACUUUCAAGACGACUAUGAAAACACCCCAACUGCUGCUAAAUUACCAGCAACAAGGAUCUGGAAUUUUCCUGACAAGAGCAGUGCCUAUCCUGAGGCAAUCGUAUUUCUCCUUGACUUCUCUCCAGUAUCAGCUUGUUGCUUGACACCCCUGCACAGCCAACUGUGUAAUGUGGGUGAGUCUAGCUGCAUUUUCUUCAGACACAAGCCUGGCUACCCAGUGCUAAGGUGACAUCAGGCCAGGCCACAUUUGCAGCAUCACAGAAAAUGAUGCUCUCUCCUGCCAAGUCCCAUUUUUUGGGAGGAGGAAAUGGAUUAGGUCCUGGAGGUUGUCAUAAAUGCAUCAAGUGACUUUCUCAGCAUCAUCUGAAACAAUUGAAGAUCCUAAAAAAAUGAUAGCAGCUUUUAAGAAGGACUAUAGUGGAACAAGCAAUAUUCUAAGUGACAAGAGACACAGAUUCUAGAAUAAACUUAGCCAAAUAUGUAUGAACUCGAA
rnacentral:lncRNA from 1 species